AUAUGCUCGCUUCGGCCAUACACAUACUAAAAAUGGAAUGAUACAGAGGAAAUUAGCAUGGCCCCUGUGCGAGGACGACCUGCAAAUUUGUGAAAUGAAAAAAGUAAUC